CUGUCAAUGAUGAGAACUCAAAAUGCCUAGAAAAGAGAUGAUAACCUAAAAGUCAUGCUAAAUAGGAUUAUGCUGAGGCCA